UCCCAUGGGCAGAUGGUCGCUCCUGCUUCGGCGGGAGAGGAAAGUCCGAACACCACAAGGCAGCAUGCCGCGGAAAAACCCGCGGAGGGUCGGGGCGAAAGUUCCGGCCGAUGGAAAGUGUCACAGAGAAGAAACCGCCGCGACGCGCUUGGAUAGGCGUGGCGGCAAGGGUGAAAAGGCGGGGUAAGAGCCCACCGCCCGGCGGGUAACCGCCGGGGCACGAUAAACCCCAUGCGGUGCAAGUCCAAACAGAGACGCCGGGUCGCCUGCCCGGUCGCGGAGGAAACUCCGGGGCCCGUCUCGGGUAUCGGUCGCACGCGCGCCGCAAGGCGCCGUCCGGCGGGAGCGAUCCCGACGGAAGAUGAAUGACCAUCGCCGUCGCGCCUUUAGCAAGCGCGGCGGGACAGAAUUCGGCUUACGCCCGGAACAA
rnacentral:RNase_P_RNA from 1 species